UACGUAGGUGGCGAGCGUUGUCCGGAUUUACUGGGCGUAAAGAGCGCGCAGGCGGUCGUGCAAGUCGCGUGUGAAAGCCCCGGGCUCAACCUGGGAAUUGCAUUUGAGACUGCGUAGCUAGGGUGCGGAAGAGGGAAGCGGAAUUUCCGGUGUAGCGGUGAAAUGCGUAGAUAUCGGAAGGAACACCAGUGGCGAAAGCGGCUUCCUGGUCCAGCACCGACGUCAGGCACGAAAGCGUGGGGAGCAAACAGG
rnacentral:rRNA from 1 species